CCCGCACAAGCGGUGGAGUAUGUGGUUUAAUUCGACGCAACGCGAAGAACCUUACCAGGCCUUGACAUACUCGGCAAAGCUCUAGAGAUAGAGUGGAGGUUAUCCGGGAUACAGGUGGUGCAUGGUUGUCGUCAGCUCGUGUCGUGAGAUGUUGGGUUAAGUCCCGCAACGAGCGCAACCCUUGUCUUUAGUUACCAUCAUUAAGUUGGGGACUCUAGAGAGACUGCCGGUGAUAAACCGGAGGAAGGUGGGGAUGACGUCAAAUCAUCAUGCCCCUUAUGGCCUGGGCUACAAACGUAAUACAAUGGCGUAUACAAAGGGAUGCGAAAGGGCGACCUGGAGCAAAACUCACAAAGUACGUCUCAGUUCAGAUUGGAGUCUGCAACUCGACUCCAUGAAGGCGGAAUCGCUAGUAAUCGCGGAUCAGCAUGCCGCGGUGAAUACGUUCUCGGGGUUU
rnacentral:rRNA from 1 species